rnacentral:rRNA from 1 species
AACAGGGAUUGCCCUAGUAACGGCGAGUGAAGCGGCAACAGCUCAAAUUUGAAAUCUGGCUCUUUUAGAGUCCGAGUUGUAAUUUGCAGAGGGCGCUUUGGCUUUGGCAGCGGUCCAAGUUCCUUGGAACAGGACGUCACAGAGGGUGAGAAUCCCGUACGUGGUCGCUAGCUAUUGCCGUGUAAAGCCCCUUCGACGAGUCGAGUUGUUUGGGAAUGCAGCUCUAAAUGGGAGGUAAAUUUCUUCUAAAGCUAAAUAUUGGCCAGAGACCGAUAGCGCACAAGUAGAGUGAUCGAAAGAUGAAAAGCACUUUGGAAAGAGAGUCAAACAGCACGUGAAAUUGUUGAAAGGGAAGCGCUUGCAGCCAGACUUGCUUGCAGUUGCUCAUCCGGGCUUUUGCCCGGUGCACUCUUCUGCAGGCAGGCCAGCAUCAGUUUGGGCGGUGGGAUAAAGGUCUCUGUCACGUACCUCCUUUCGGGGAGGCCUUAUAGGGGAGGCGACAUACCACCAGCCUGGACUGAGGUCCGCGCAUUCGCUAGGAUGCUGGCGUAAUGGCUGUAAGCGGCCCGUCUUGAAACACGGACCAAGGAGUCUAACAUCUAUGCGAGUGUUUGGGUGUCAAGCCCGAACGCGUAAUGAAAGUGAACGGAGGUGGGAACCCGCAAGGGUGCACCAUCGACCGAUCCUGAUGUCUUCGGAAGGAUUUGAGUAAGAGCAUGGCUGUUGGGACCCGAAAGAUGGUGAACUAUGCUUGAAUAGGGUGAAGCCAGAGGAAACUCUGGUGGAGGCUCGCAGCGGUUCUGACGUGCAAAUCGAUCGUCAAAUUUGGGCAUAGGGGCGAAAGACCUAAUCGA